rnacentral:lncRNA from 1 species
UGGUGCCAGAUCGUUGCACGCCAAUAGUCAAUAUACAGCCACUCCACGUUUUCUACAUGACUUUAAGAUCUGUAAUCCUUUUCUUUUAGUUGAUCAAGCACAUACUGUCAUUGUCUUCUGUCUGAUCACCCUGUUCUUCGGUGUGCGUGUUCUGUAUAUGUCUGCAUCUGCGCACAUGGUGUUUUGUUUUGAUCGUUCGCCAUGCACCCUUCUGGGGCGUUCCCCCCCCCCUCGUUACUACCUCUUCCGCUCCUAAUUGUUUGACUCUGCUCACCUGAAUUCAAUGUCUGUUCAUCUCUCGCUGUAUUUAUUUCCGUCUUUCGUGCCAAUUGGUGCCAGAUCGUUGCACGCCAAUAGUCAAUGUACAGCCACUCUGUCCGCUCCAGUCUAGCCUUGUUCAGUCGUGCCAUUGUCGGUCCUUGUCAGGUUUCUCUGCCACCAGUUGUUUUGUUCUUUCUAUUUUUUUUCCCCCUUCCUCAUUUCCCAGACGAGGCAUCUGCAUUCCGCAGAAGUUUUUCGGUCCGCUCUGAUGUCGGUUCUCAUUUCGUGCCAAUUGGUGCCAGAUCGUUGCACGCCAAUAGUCAAUGUACAGCCACUCUGUCCGCUCCAGUCUAGCCUUGUUUAGUCGUGCCAGUGUCAGUCCUUGUCAGGUUUUUCUGCCACCAGUUGUUUUGUUCUUUCUCUGCCACCAGUUGUUUUGUUCUUUCUAUUUUUUUCCACCUUCCUCAUUUCCCAGACGAGGCAUCUGCAUUCCGCAGAAGUUUUUCGGUCCGCUCUGAUGUCGGUUCUCAUGUGUCUUCCUCCCCUCUCCGUUCUCUACGCGGCCGCGCCAUCGGGCGCCCCCUGCCGGGUGGUUUCGCAAGGACAUUGAAGCCUCUGAUUUUUCUGUUGGACUAUUUUCAUUGAUUUCCCGGCCUUUUUCUGUUCGUUUGAGGAAGUUUCUUUUGGACUUAUUAAAUAAAUUGGUCGCAUACUGAAACCUGCAUCUGUGUCCGGUGGUGUCCCUGACAAUUUGUAGUUCCCCUCACUUUACAACAAAUCCUUUAAAUUUAAAUAAAUCAGAACAGAACGAGAAUUAAAAAUAUAUAAUUUUAAUGGAUAAAUAUAAUUUCAGUAUAUAAUAAUAUAGGCUUAAAUAUAAUAAUUUAAAGGGAAACAUAAGGUAAGUUUGGGCUUACCUCUCUCAUUCGGUACAAAUCCAAACGUUUCCAUAUUCGUGAUGAUGCCCAUUUUGAAGCUAAACUAUAAUUCAUUAGGUAAAAUAAGCUUUGUAGUUCACACGUUUUUCAGUAUCAGUGGGGAAAAAUCAUAAUGAGCAAAAAUAUGCCAAAGUGGAUCGCUGCUCAUGCCGAAUGGCACGGUGAACGGCUGCACUGUUUCCAAUGAAUAUGGGACAGCUGAAACAGAUAAUACUCCAUUUCUGUAAAAAAAAAAUAAUGAUUUUAAAUAAA